rnacentral:lncRNA from 1 species
AUGAUCGUGUCGGAAUUUCUCGAGUAGCCUCAUCGAAUCAGGACCUCUAUCUCAUCCCUGAGCUGGAUGCACUGUUCGAUAUCGUGACCAUGAUCACGAUGCAACCAACAGUACUUCUUCCAGUCACAACUCCUCGAUGACGCUUUCAUUGGUGGGGGUGUCGUAGAUACUCCUUUGCUUUGAUCUCCAUCAAGAUCUACGCACAGAGAGCAGAAAGAGGAGUAUAGGAGUCAUACCUGCCAUAGC